rnacentral:rRNA from 1 species
GGAAGGUCCGGGCGUUAUCCGGAUUUAUUGGGUUUAAAGGAGCGUAGAUGGAUGUUUAAGUCAGUUGUGAAAGUUUGCGGCUCAACCGUAAAAUUGCAGUUGAUACUGGUCGUCUUGAGUGCAGUAGAGGUAGGCGGAAUUCGUGGUGUAGCGGUGAAAUGCUUAGAUAUCACGAAGAACUCCGAUUGCGAAGGCAGCUUACUGGACUGUAACUGACGCUGAUGCUCGAAAGUGUGGGUAUCAAACAGGAUUAGAUACCCUGGUAGUCCACACAGUAAACGAUGAAUACUCGCUGUUUGCGAUAUACAGCAAGCGGCCAAGCGAAAGCAUUAAGUAUUCCACCUGGGGAGU